CCUGCUGCAUAAAACAAGUGCCCUUGAGCUUCAGGGAACAAACUGAUGGACGGACACUCUCCUUCAGCAUUUUCUGGUAGAAAACAGAAUUCAUGGGUCCAUCAACUAGACGAGCCUUUAUGGUCUUUAUGGUCAGCAGUGAUUUUUUCCACCUUGGAAGCUUAACUAUGGAAGUCUGGAACACUUGAUGCUGCAUGGAUGUACAGUGGGAGUGUGACUCCAGUUUCAGAUGCAGGUGGACAGCUUGAUCGUUUUCCAGCCAUUCUCUGACAGCUCAAGUGUGACUUUUGGUUUAAUGGUCAAAAGUAUAUAUACAGACUCAAAUAUCUGCAUACACCAGUGACCACACCCAAGCUAAGGUAUGAUGUGAGACAGAAGAUGAAAAACACAGGGUGGAAAAGGCUGGAGCCUGUCUCAGCUACCAUAGAGGAGUGUUGGGGACAGUUGCCAAUCUGACACAGAGAAAGAGACAGACAACCAUUCACACUUAGACCUAUAGGCAAUUUAGAAUAAGUAAUUAACCUAACCCAACAAAUUAGAUAUAAUUGGACUAUUGGAGGAAGCCGGAUACCCAAGAGAACCCGCACAAACACAUGGAGAACAUGCAAACUCCACACAGAAAGGCUCUUGUGCAGUUAAACUCACGACGUUCUUGCUGUGAAAUAACAGUGGUAACCACUGCACUGCCCAGCUUUUAAGAAAUAAAACUGUAAAAUUUAUAAAGAAAGUGACAACAAACUUGGACUUUGUUCUUAUGUUACUUCACAAAAAAUCAAAAAAGGAAGUCGUUGUUCAUCAAUAAUAAAA